AAAGAACGAAAACACGAAGAAAACGGACUCAAACAACUAAUUCACAACUAAGUAGGUGAUUACUAGUUGUUAAUUAGUUCUAGAAUCAGGAAAUGAAACUAAAGAAACAAGGAAAUGAAACUUAGAAUCUGAAAUUUGAGCUUAAGCUUUUUGGGUGAAGUGAUGAUGUGGCAGCCCUUGGUGAUGACGUGGCAGCCUUUGGUUGGUUGAUGUUUUGAAA
rnacentral:lncRNA from 1 species